rnacentral:rRNA from 1 species
AUUGAACGCUGGCGGCAUGCCUUACACAUGCAAGUCGAACGGCAGCACGGGAGCAAUCCUGGUGGCGAGUGGCGAACGGGUGAGUAAUGUAUCGGAACGUACCAUUGAGUGGGGGAUAACGUAGCGAAAGUUACGCUAAUACCGCAUAUACCCUGAGGGGGAAAGCAGGGGAUCGCAAGACCUUGUGCUCUUUGAGCGGCCGAUAUCAGAUUAGCUAGUUGGUGAGGUAAAGGCUCACCAAGGCGACGAUCUGUAGCGGGUCUGAGAGGAUGAUCCGCCACACUGGAACUGAGACACGGUCCAGACUCCUACGGGAGGCAGCAGUGGGGAAUUUUGGACAAUGGGGGCAACCCUGAUCCAGCCAUGCCGCGUGAGUGAAGAGGGCCUUCGGGUUGUAAAGCUCUUUCGGCCGGGAGGAAAUCGCAUCAGCUAAUACCUGGUGUGGAUGACAGUACCGGAAUAAGAAGCACCGGCUAACUACGUGCCAGCAGCCGCGGUAACAC